rnacentral:rRNA from 1 species
AUCAAUAUCCUCAAUAGAUAUCCUUUGUUCAAAAGAUUAAUUUCUGGGGAUGCUCCAGCUUGCAACUACAAAAUCAUGGACAAUGAGUACUCAAUGGGAUACUAUCUCACCGAUGGCAUCUAUCCCGAAUGGGCAACUCUUGUGAAGUCCAUCAAGGAGAAAAAUGGGGUGCCCUUAACAAGAAAAGAGGCUCAUUUCACCAAGGCACAAGAGGCAGCCCGCAAGGAUAUUGAGAGAGCUUUCGGUGUUUUGCAAGCAAGGUUUGCCAUAGUUCGUGGUCCAGCUCGGUUUUGGGACAAAAAACCUUGA